rnacentral:tRNA from 1 species
GCCGAAGUGGCGAAAUUAGGUAGACGCAAUUGAUUCAAAAUCAAUCGUAGAAAUACAUAUCGGUUCAAGUCCGAUCUUCGGCA